AGAUCACAGCCACGUCAACAGUGGACGUCAGGCUUGUAAGAGACAUGAAUUAUAUGUGAGCUUUAGUGACCUAGGCUGGAAGGACUGGGUCCUGGCUCCUACUGGUUACUCUGCCAUCUACUGUGAUGGAGAAUGCCUAUACCCUCUGGGUUCCUGCAUGAACGCCACCAACCACGCUAUGAUCCAACUAGUGGUUCACCUUUUGAAGCCGGAUGAGGUUCCCAAAGCGUGCUGCGCACCCACCAAGCUCAGUCCCAUCUCUGUACUCUUCUACGACCACAACAACAAUGUGAUCCUAAAGAAGCAUCGCAACAUCACUAUUGUAAAGUGGCUGUUCCACUGGAUGUCAUAAGGUGAAUGCACCAAUUUGUAAGUCGCUCUGGAUAAGAGCGUCUGCUAAAUGACUUAAAUGUAAAUGUAACAUGGUGGUCAAGACCUGUGGAUGCCUGUAACAUCUGUGGUGGCCCAUCUAUUCUACAUCAUUUGAAUAAACUUCACUACCAUUGUUCCAAAAGAUACAAACAGGGUUGAUAGCAAUAAUCUGGCAAUAUGCGGAAAAAUAGUAUGUAUCUACACUGAACAUAAAUAUAAACUCAACAUGCUACAAUUUCAACGAUUUUACUGAGUUAUAGUUCAUAUAAUGAAAUCAGUCAAUUAAAAUACGUUCUUUAGUCCCUAAUCUAUGGAUUUCACAUGACUGGGAAUCCAGAUGUGCAUCUGUUGGUAACAGAUACCUUUUUAAAUGAAGAUAGGAGCGUGGAUCAGAAAACCAGUCAGUAUCUGGUGUGACCACCAUUUGCCUCAUG